GGGUUGUGAGGUUAAGCGACUAAGCGUACACGGUGGAUGCCCUGGCAGUCAGAGGCGAUGAAGGACGUGCUAAUCUGCGAUAAGCGUCGGUAAGGUGAUAUGAACCGUUAUAACCGGCGAUUUCCGAAUGGGGAAACCCAGUGUGUUUCGGCACACUAUCAUUAACUGAAUCCAUAGGUUAAUGAGGCGAACCGGGGGAACUGAAACAUCUAAGUACCCCGAGGAAAAGAAAUCAACCGAGAUUCCCCCAGUAGCGGCGAGCGAACGGGGAGGAGCCCAGAGCCUGAAUCAGUGUGUGUGUUAGUGGAAGCGUCUGGAAAGGCGCGCGAUACAGGGUGACAGCCCCGUACACAAAAAUGCACAUAUUGUGAGCUCGAUGAGUAGGGCGGGACACGUGGUAUCCUGUCUGAAUAUGGGGGGACCAUCCUCCAAGGCUAAAUACUCCUGACUGACCGAUAGUGAACCAGUACCGUGAGGGAAAGGCGAAAAGAACCCCGGCGAGGGGAGUGAAAAAGAACCUGAAACCGUGUACGUACAAGCAGUGGGAGCCUCUUUAUGGGGUGACUGCGUACCUUUUGUAUAAUGGGUCAGCGACUUAUAUUCUGUAGCAAGGUUAACCGAAUAGGGGAGCCGAAGGGAAACCGAGUCUUAACUGGGCGUUAAGUUGCAGGGUAUAGACCCGAAACCCGGUGAUCUAGCCAUGGGCAGGUUGAAGGUUGGGUAACACUAACUGGAGGACCGAACCGACUAAUGUUGAAAAAUUAGCGGA
rnacentral:rRNA from 1 species